rnacentral:rRNA from 1 species
UACGUAGGGGGCAAGCGUUGUCCGGAUUUAUUGGGCGUAAAGAGCGUGUAGGCGGUUUGGUAGGUCCGCUGUGAAAACUCGAGGCUCAACCUCGAGACGUCGGUUGAAACCGCUUGGCUAGAGUCCGGAAGAGGAGAGUGGAAUUCCCGGUGUAGCGGUGAAAUGCGCAGAUAUCGGGAAGAACACCCGUGGCGAAGGCGGCUCUCUGGGACGGUACUGACGCUGAGACGCGAAAGCGUGGGGAGCGAACAGG